rnacentral:lncRNA from 1 species
UAAGAGCACACACCUGGAGCCAGGCUGCUGAAGUGAGGCUCCGAGCCACUAACUAGCUGGAUGACCUUGCGGGGUCAUAGUGAGAACUAAAUGAGACAUGUGAGAAAAGCUCUCAGGACACUGCCUGCUGCACGGCAGGUGCUAUGUGUGGUGCUGUUAUCAGUCUCACGCUACCACACAGCCGCAGAGGCAACGUUGAGGGAGAAGCCCAUGAUCCAGACCUAGCAGUUUGCCCGGGACGUUUAAAACACUUGCAAGAGGAGACCAUUCCUGAAGUUGGCUGCAAACCCCCUGCUUCAUCUGUUACCAGGUUUAACCCCUCAAUAGCCGAAUCGCUGGAUGAAGUGUCAUCACUUACAACUGUAACAGAGUGGUCAAAGAGAGUGAUGUUUUCUUUAGUCUGAGCUGGGAUUGGAGGGAGAAAAGAGCUUUAAGAAAAACGAUUCCAGAGAUCAGCUAAAGGAAUUGGUGUCUUUGAGAAUCCUAUGCCUUGCUUCCAGGUAAAAUAAGAAUCCGAAGAGCUCCUAGUGACCCAAGUUUUCGGCAUUAAAGGAGAUACUUAGCAGACAGGACCAUGCCCCUGAUUUUUAUCUUUGUGGCCUUAAACCCCAGGAAAGUCAGUUCACAGAGUUAUUAGGAGGCCAGAAUGGACUCGCCACCUCCUGCACUGACUUUUCAUAUCAGAAGGCAUAGUUGACUUUAACCUUGUAUUUUUAUUUCCCAGAAAGAAAAAAAGAAAAGAAUAGGCAAACAGGGGAAAUCCUCUUAACGAAAUGUAUCUGAAAUCUAAUCCUGUCUUUCCAUCUCCAGUGUCACUAAUCUAGGGCAGUCAACCAUAAUCGCUGAGACGACUACUCACAAUGACCUUCUAAUUGACCUCCCUGUGUUGAUGCUUGCCUGACUCCUGUGUGUUUUUUGCACAAUCACCAGGAUGAUUUUCAAAAAGUCUAAAUCAGAUUGUGUCACUCCCCUGACUAAAACUCUCUAGUAACUUGCCUUGCACUUAGGGUAAACUGGAAAUUCUUACUGUGGAUACACGGACUUGCUUGUCCCUUCAGGCUCAUCUGCUAUCCUGUAGGCCCACUAGACUUCAAUUCCUUAAGUAAGCUCUUAAAGGCCUCAGGACCUUUGCACAUGCUGUUUCCUCUGUUUAGAAAUCUUCUGUCCACCCAGUCCCCUUCUUUCAAGUGACUCUUCUCAUUCUUUAGACCUCACCUUAAAUGUCACUUCCUCAGGCAGAACUUCCCUGUCUAUCCUAUUUAAGCUAGGUUUCUCAUUCUGAUUAGUUGUCUCUAUUUUAGUCUUUACAUAGCAUUUAUCACAGCUUGUCAUUGUUUUUUAUUUAUUAUUGUUUUUCUUUUUUCUGAUUUAUUUUCUGCUUUUUGCUCUUGAAUGUAGAGGGCUAAAACCAUGUUUUUCUUGUUCAUGGUUGUAUCCUUUCUGUCUAGCAAGGCGCUUGGCACAAAGUAG